GUAAGCGCACGCCGACGCGCCAAAGGGGAGGAAUGCGCCGGGCGGAAAACUUAGGAAGAGCUGGAUGCCUCCCCCGGAGAGCGUCGUUUCCUAGUGCCCGGCUAGUGGAGUGGAGUGUAUAGGGGUAGACUUUUCACACAGGGGACAAAUUAUUGCACGAUAUUUGCACCCCCCGUUCCGAGUCACUCGGGCGCAUCGUUUACUUCAGCAGGUUCUCUGCAUCACGGACUCUUUUGAGGCUCAGGCCCUGCCCUACCAUGAGCUGAAGAGGCAGCAACAUACAUGUUUGGAGUUUAGCAGGGACUGAGAAGGGUGGAAAAGAACUGCCUAACCAAAGGAACCUCCACCUGACAACCUUCAUUAACCCAAAACAAAGGACCACAGUACCCUGUAUGGCCUGCAUUCCAUGGGAUGAGAUGGGGAUUCAUGCUUCUCAUAGAGAUGGCGUCCCGAUGUGUUGCCAUGGCUGGCCUUGAACUCCUGAACUCCAGUGAUCCUCCUGCCUUGGCCUCUCAAAGUGGUAGGAUUUCAGGCAUGAGCCACCAUGCCCAGCCGCCUUCUUCUUCUUCUUCUUCUUUUUUUUUUUUUGCAAUUUUAAGCAUAUAUAAUUAUUUUAUGAAUGUCUGACUUUCCUAUUAGAUGAUAAGUAUCAAGAGAAGAGGAACUAACCUCUGCAACUAGUGCAGUGUCUAACACAUACCGGGAACUCAAUAAAUACUUCUGGACUUAAUCAUAUUGACAUUAUUAUUAUUAUU